AUAUUGCCUCAUCAUAUGGUGACAUGUGAUCGUAACUGGGUGAAUUCAGGGGAAACCUAAGUCAUGAAGAUAGGGCAAUCCUGAGCCAAGCCGAAAUAACCUGACUAAUUUCGGAAGGUGCAACGCAUAGACAGUGAGUUGGUAGCAAUAACCUGUCCACGAGCGCCCAGCAUCUCACGUAGAUGAAGAUGUAUGCUGAACUAUAUAGAAAUAUAUAG
rnacentral:ncRNA from 1 species